rnacentral:rRNA from 1 species
GACGUAGGGGGCCAGCGUUGUUCGUAAUUACUGGGUGUAAAGGGUUCGUAGGCGGUGCGGCAAGUCGGGAGUGAAAUCUCUGGGCUUAACCGAGAGGCUGCUUCCGAAACUGCUGUGCUUGAGUGUGGGAGAGGCGCGUGGAAUUGCAGGUGUAGCGGUGAAAUGCGUAGAUAUCUGCAGGAACACCCGUGGCGAAAGCGGCGCGCUGGACCACUACUGACGCUGAGGAACGAAAGCUAGGGGAGCAAACAGG